GUACGCGCUUGCUCGUAUGUGCAUUCGCUCUCGCGUGCACUCGCGUGCAUCGGAGUCGCCUAGUGUACUGGAUGGAUUGCCGGCGAGCGUUGUUAAGUACAUAGCCAUUUGUUUUAUCUGAAGUAUUAUCUAGACGACAACCACAAUUCAAUUAAAAGAAAAGGGAACAAAGAAGAAAGUGAGAUAUCGGCCAACGUAUCAUAUAUGAUGCUUAUUGCGAUAAUUGCCGUUCUCAUUAACGAGCUACAUUCGUAUAGAAUUGUGAAACCGAAGUGCGCGUUGCAGUCAAUCGAUGACGUCAUUGGUUCCCGAGGUUUCGGUCAAUCAACCAGUUGAACGUUACGUCAGAAUCGUAACAAUCUGACUGGAGAUAAUCAGAUUACCUUACCGAUUCUGAUUACCGACGUUAAUUAGAGAAUAGCGAUGAUGCGUUGCGUGGUCGAGAGGUUUCGGUUCUCGAUGCUUGCUUCUCCUGGGCGCUAGCCUUCCAUUUUGCGGAACUUAAUUAUCCGAUUAGUCUAGCUACGAAGCAUUGCUCUCCAUCACCAUCUCUCUCUUUCUCUCUCUCUCCCUCUCUCUCUCUCUCUCUCUCUCUCUAUCUAUCUAACUAUUUCUCACUCUCUCUCUUCCUGGAUCCUCUUGAUUCUCUCUGUAGCAUUCAUCUGUAACAUUCUCUUGUAUCUGACACCGGCUACCAUUACAUCCACGUGAUAUUGACGCCAACGUUGGCUCAACAACCCUUGCAAUCCUCUUCUACUCCGACUCUUUCUCUUAUAACCCCUGCUAGUGUAUAGAUCGCCCUUCUUUCUAUCAUUCACCCCUUUUCCUUUCGUGCGCGGUAGUUACACUUUCGUUCACUCGUCGGAAUUCGGUUUGAGAAAAGUAUGCCAGGAUCUACGCGUGACAAUGUUUCAGAAAGACUAUCUAGUGCCAUUCAACGAACGUGCCUAAUUAUUCUCACGGCCGGAGAUUAUUACUCGACCCUACAGAGAAGGGAAAAAGAGGAGGAUGUAUCGAACGUUUCAAAGUUAUCUUUGCGGAUUUAACAGAUAAACACAGCCUUCAGGAAGAAAGAAAGGAAAAAAUCACAAAAUUAAUAUAAAAGUCUAACUAAAGUAAAAUUGGACCUAGUGUAAAGAAUAAGACGAGGAAACUAUUCUAUAGCAUUAAAUGCAGAUACAGAGAAAGAUUAAUACAUAAAGAAACUGGAACAAAUUAAAUAAUUUGUUCGAAAUAUGAUGCAAAAUGAUUUAUCUAUUACAAUUUUCACAUGGUUCUCAAAAAAAAGGACGAGCCGCGAAAAAAGUGAAAUAGAUGAGCUAAGGCUUGAUAUAAAUGAGAAAUUGGCCUGGUUAUAAAUAUGAUGGACACAACUUUUUUGCGGUAAUAUUAGUUACUAGUACGUUGCACUGUCAAGUAUAUAACUUGAUCAUUUAUAGCAUAUAGAAUGCAUAGCAUAGGUGUCAUUUAAUAAAGAACCAUUUAUUCAUUUAAAACCUUGUAGUCUGUUUUAUAGCUAAUAUUUCCACAUAUACCUAUACUUUUUGUCAAAAUAUAAAAGCACUAAACAAAAUUUCAUCUGCAUUAGACAAAAAUAGUAGGAGUUAUAAGGAAAUUACAAAUACACAGAUUUUUAAUUUUAUAUUAAUAAUAUGCAAAAUGGUGUGGAAUAGCUAAAAGUUUUAGAUUCAAAAAUAUGGGUUAUUCAUAAUUUUGAAGACAAACAUUAGGUCACAUAAAUGUCUACGCAUUUGU